CGCGUCGAAUAAACCUGUUCACAUAAUUGUCAUCGAACUUCACUUGGUAAGUUCGUUUGAUUAUCAAUUAUGUUUCACAGGUUUAUUCGACGCGAUUUAUUGUUUACAUGUUGUACGAUGUUCAGAGAACACAGUGCGAAAUAAUAUAAACAAUGGACUGAGGAAUUGCACUUUUUUAUUCAAGAAAAUCUACAGAUUCAUUACAAAUUGGCAGAUAAUAUGCUGUUAGCAAACUGAUUUGGAUCAGAAAUAAUAUCACGAUUAUAAAACCGUGCAAACACGGAAGAAGAUUCCGUCCAGCCAGCGGUUUUUCGAAUUACAUCGAUACUCACUCCGAGUCUGUUAGAUGAUGAUGUGGAAGCAUGCCGUGUGCUAUGAGCGCUGAAUAUAGAAGUAUCAAUGCCACCUUUGAGAAGAAUAUUUUUUAUCCAGUGACCGAGGGUUUGAGAAGAUACUUUAUUGUGAGGUCGUUUGUAACUAAUAAAUAAAUAAUCGUUAUGACGAA